rnacentral:rRNA from 1 species
UGAGGAAUAUUGCACAAUGGGCGAAAGCCUGAUGCAGCAACGCCGCGUGAGGGACGAAGGCCUUCGGGUCGUAAACCUCUUUUCUGGGGGACGAGUAAGGACGGUACUCCAGGAAUAAGUCUCGGCUAACUACGUGCCUGCAGCCGCGGUAAAACGUAGGAGGCGAGCGUUAUCCGGAUUUACUGGGCGUAAAGCGUACGCAGGUGGCUUCGUUAGUCGGACAUGAAAGCUCCUGGCUUAACUGGGAGAGGUUGUUCGAUACUGCGGGGCUUGAGGUUGGGAGAGGGACGUGGAAUUCCCGGUGUAGUGGUGGAAUGCGUAGAUAUCGGGAGGAACACCAGUGGCGCAAGCGGCGUCCUGGCCCACACCUGACGCUGAGGUACGAAAGCGUGGGUAGCAAACA